AACGAACGCUGGCGGCAGGCUUAACACAUGCAAGUCGAACGCCCCGCAAGGGGAGUGGCAGACGGGUGAGUAACGCGUGGGAAUCUACCGUACCCUACGGAAUAACGCAUGGAAACGUGUGCUAAUACCGUAUACGCCCUACGGGGGAAAGAUUUAUCGGGGUAUGAUGAGCCCGCGUUGGAUUAGCUAGUUGGUGGGGUAAAGGCCUACCAAGGCGACGAUCCAUAGCUGGUCUGAGAGGAUGAUCAGCCACAUUGGGACUGAGACACGGCCCAAACUCCUACGGGAGGCAGCAGUGGGGAAUAUUGGACAAUGGGCGCAAGCCUGAUCCAGCCAUGCCGCGUGAGUGAUGAAGGCCCUAGGGUUGUAAAGCUCUUUCACCGAUGAAGAUAAUGACGGUAGUCGGAGAAGAAGCCCCGGCUAACUUCGUGCCAGCAGCCGCCGCCGUAA
rnacentral:rRNA from 1 species